rnacentral:tRNA from 1 species
GGAUUGUGGCUCAGUGGUAGAGCACUUGUCUAGCAUGCAUGAGACACUGGGUUCAAUCCCCAGCACCA